rnacentral:rRNA from 1 species
CUUAACCCUUAACCUUCGGGAGGGCGCUUACCACUUUGUGAUUCAUGACUGGGGUGAAGUCGUAACAAGGUAACCGUAGGGGAACCUGCGGUUGGAUCACCUCCUUA